UAUUGUGAUGUUUUUAUCAGCUGUUUGGACUCUCAUUCUGACGGCACCCAUUCACUGCAGAGCAUCCAUUGCUGAGCAAGUGAUGCAUUGCUACAUUUCUCCAAAUCUGAUGAAGAAACAAACUUAUCUACAUCCUGAGUGAAUCGAACCCUUCCUGUGCUCUCAUUCAUGCCACUGCGAGACACAAACGCCGCGCUCUCCUCCUCCUCAUCUUCCUCCUGUCCCUCGGCCUCCUGCUCCCCCCCACGCCACCCCUCUUCCCUCCCGCCGUCCUCCGGCCCCAGGUGAGGAGAGUAAGGGAGGGAUGCUAGCGCACAGUCUUCUGAAGGGUACUCACAAACUCUCUCCAGCUGAGCGUCGUCGAAACACACCUUCACCUAAACCAGAGGAACGAAGAAAGUCUUACGGGUUUGGAACAGCAUGAUGCUGUUGUGAGUGACUGGUUUUGGCUGAACUAAUGUGUAAAUGCAUGCACUGUUAAACAAUGAUUUUUACAAAGUUGAAAAUUAAACAAAAAAUUAAACAAGAAAAUACUAGGCCUAUUUCAGUUUUUCUGCUGAACAAUUUCAAGUUUAAUUUAGCGUGAUUCAAAGUAAAUCCUGCAUCGUACUUUUUACUUUUUCAUGGGAAAAGUAAUUAAAUUACAGUAAUAAUUAUUAAAUAAUGCAUUAAACUCGACAGUGGCAAUAAGACAUGAUUUCAAAGAUGUUUUUGUCUGAAACAUGGAGUUUCUUAAAAUGUCUAAAUAUUAGAGAAUUGCCCUAAAAAUAUCUUAAAUCGAAGCAGAAAAAUCUUAAAUUCAUAAGGUCGUGACAUUAAAUGUUGCAUGCAUUGCAAAAAUCUUACAUUUGUUUUCUUUUUCAGUGCAAAUAUCGAAACUUCCUCAAGUCAAGAUACAUUUACUUGAGGUGCACAAUAAAGAUUUGAAGUAUUCUGAGAAACUGAUCAAAAUGAAGAGAAUUUAUGCUUAAAACAAGAACAAAUAUCUGCCAAUAUAUCCGUAAAUAUCGGUCAAAAAAAUACACUUGUUUUCUUUUUAAAAAGGUAAUUUUUUCUGACCUCAUUGGUAGAUAUUUGUUGUUUAAUCAAACUCACUUCAUUUUGAUCAGUUUCUUUGUGUCCCUUCCAUUUCCUUUAAUUGGUCUUAAAAGUCUUAAAUUUACCUUCACAAAACCUGCAGAAACCCUGGAUCAAGUCACCCCUCAGGGAUUUUGGAUACAGAAAUGACAUUUAUCAGACAGCAGCCAUUUAACAACUGUUAAUAUCCAAAGCAAAUUAUACUGCAAAGCUGACAUUUAACACUUUUUUUUUUUUUUUUUUACUGCUGGUCAGAAGCGCUUAAAUGCAUUUGCACAGCAAUUAUGAAUACACUUAUUUUAUUAACACUUAACUUGGUUGUGUAAAGACGCUUUUGCAGUGCACUUCAAUCCAUAAUUGCCUUGAAAUCACCUGCCGUUAACCCUAUAAAGUUACUGUUGAUACAAGACCUCCAAAUGAUCGACAUGACCAAAACUUUGCUGUUAAACCUGUUGCACACAAUCUACUACAUGCCGUCUGUCUUCUUUACUUUAAUAAGUAAGCUCUUUUGGUAUAAUUGUACAAACGGCUGACCCCAGCUUGAGCUUCACAAGUCUUUCUGCUGUUAAAUCUUGACGGAUUUUUAUCAAGUAAACGUCAGAAAAACUGUAGUCAUAUUUCCAGAUGAACACUUACUGUACUGAAGCAGCUCGGUUUUACUUCGUCUCUCAAUCAUCAAUGGAUUGCAUUGCAUUAUAUGUUUGGAUCUUUUAAAUCUCAUCUUACUGAGACAUAUUAUUGGAGAUAUAAAGUGACCACUGAUAUUUAUAUCAUUUUAUGUCAAUAUCUGCUGUACUGUUAUAAAGAUCUCAUUAAUUUACAUUACAAGCAUCAGAAUUUAAUCAUAUUAAUAUCGCAUCUGCAAAUUGCAUAUUUUUGCUCCGUUUGAGACUCUGAAUAAAAUUGAGUUGUUUUCCCUCCAUAUUAUCACUACAUAUGACUAUAUGAGUCAUAACAGCCUGAUAUAAUACAAAACAUAAAACGCCUAUGCAAACUUUUUUUUUUUUGAUUUUUUAAAAUAUUUAGUUUAAAGGUUUAAUGAAAUGCUUGCAUUUCAAAACAUUAGAUUUUUUUCUGACUUAUUUCAUAUGUCAGACUUUUCAGGGUUAAUGCUGACAGAUCAUAGCAGUCAGCAGGGGUGUCGCUAGUGGGGAAAGGGUGACAGAGUGCAUAGGGCCGAGAGGUCUGGGGGGCCCGAGAUCGCCUACUGGCCAUCAGGAGCACCGGGACAUUCUAUUCAAGUAGUGGGUCGAUCGCCGAAACGAGGGAGACCUCCCCAAUAUUAGGCGCUGUUUUUACAUUACAGCACAUGUGAAAUAGGCCUACUCCAAAAGUGUGAAGCAGCGCUCCCCGAUGCAUUCGCCAGCCGCGUGUCAAAGCAGAGCGGGAUGCUGGCUGAAAACAGCCAUGACAAUGAGGUAUAUUGGAAAACGCUAAUUGGUUUGUCAAUUCAGCACCAUAAUUUAACUUAAAGAUAUUAACUAUUAACUACAAAUAGCCUAUGUUGGCAGAAAUGUAUUUAUUAUAAAUAUUACUGUUAUUACAUAUUGUGGAAUAUUUUAAUUUUAUAGAAGGUGUUUUGUAGUUUCUUCAUGUUUAGUUUUUUUUUUUUUUAACUACAAAUUUUAUAGUUUAUUAUUACUUAUUAUUUAUUUAAAAAACCAUAUAACCAUGGUAAUGAGGACCAUGGUUUUACUUCUUGUGACCACCAUCCUACUAAUACUAGUCAGCUAAACUCUGGAAGCAAGAACAUCUUUCUUUUUAGAUGUUUAGUUAUAAUGAAUUUUAAUUGAAGUAAAAUGUUAAUUCAAUAAGGGCCUGAUUAAAGAUAAAUAUCAGUGUCUUAUAUAAAUUAGGUGUUCAUUAUUUACAAAUAAUCAAGUUCUGAAAGGGAGAUUCACCCAAAAAAUGAAAAUUGUCAUUAUUUACUCAACAUCAUGUCCAAACCUGUAUGAAUGUAUUUCUUCUGUGGGACAUAAUUUGAGAAAUUCAAGAAAUUUGUGUCCAUAGAAAUCAAGGGUAACCAAAAUGGUUUGGUAACAUUCUACAAAAUCUUCUUGUGUGUUCAACAGAAGAAAGUAAAUCAUGCAGGUUUGGAACAACACAAGGGUGAGAAAAUGAUGACAACAUUUUUUAGCAAUACCUUUCCAGCAGUCUAGCUCACAGUAAAUACGUUACUGUCAAGUGCUCUUCUAUGUGACAAAAAUGCAUUAUUAAGUUUGUUGCAUUUGUUGUGAAUUCAGUAAUAUCUAUCAGUAUUCAUUUCUGUUUUAUGUAUUCGUGCACAGGGCCCAGAAUUCUUAGCGACGGCCCCGGCAGUCAGACCAGUGAACCUUCAAACAUACUAUAAGAUAAAACAUAAAUAACACAGUCGACAUAAUACAGAGAGAAAAGCAGCGCUAUAAUGGCUUAAGGUUCAAAUGAGGAAAGUGUAAAGUCACCCCCCUCUGACAGAUUAAGAGCUGGAGACUGACGUCAAUCGUUCUGCAGGGGGCACGCGGUAAUACAGCCACACUACCAUACUACUAUUACUAUUUCUGUUGUACGAAGUGUAGGAACAGUACAAGAUGUGCUGUAUGCAUGCGCAGGUGAUCUUCUAGAUUCAACAGAACGUUUAGCACACAGCCAGAGCAGUGCGUGGAAUACUGAUCCUCAGAUAGUCAGUCUAAACAACAGGCCAAGUGAGCCCAGUCACAGAACAUAAAACUGUCUGCAAAGACAAGCGUGAACUGCAAGACGAAUGAAGGUUAGAUGUGGUCACAGUGUAAACUGGGGAAAUGACUUUUGGAGCAAACACACUUUCACACACACACACACACACAUACACACACGCUGUUAAAUGUAACGUGAUGCUGUUGGUCAUACAGUAUGAACUGAAAUUUUCAUAAACCGAUAACCCUAGGUUUUUGCUUUUGGUUUUAUGCAUUCUCUUCUAUCUGUGCUACAGGAAGUGACACAGCUCAGAGGAGGAAGUAGACAAAGAGUUGUCACAAGACUGCUUUAAAAAACCCAAAACGUUGCAGCUAUAUAAAACGUAAAAAACUUGUAAAGAAAAAAUACAUGUAUUAUGCACAUCACCUUCAACCAUGUGUAUAGUUCAGCUUUUCAUGUCUUGUUUUGUCACUUUAAUUGGAAAAAUGUAUUUAUUAUUUACGCUACAAUCAAAACAUUUGGAAUAAUUAGUUUUGGUUUUUUUUAUGUUUUUGAAAACCUUUUUUUAUCAGCUGAAACUCUUUAAUGCAAAAUAUUUACUUGUAGUAACCACUGAUAUCUUACAUGAAUUUUUCAAUUAUUUACCAAAUUAUUCACAGUUCUCUGAUGCUGGUUGGCCAUUUCGAGGUAAACAAAUAAUGAUUUUUUUUUUUCUUUAGUAAGUGAUUUUAUUUUAUUGUUUUUAUUUAAAAAUAUAUAUAUUUUAGUUUUACUUUUUAUGAUUUAAUUAUUAAAAUUCCAUGAACUUCCAUGAAUUUUAAUUUGAAUAACUCUUAUUUUAAUAUAACUAUUAAUAUUUCAUCAACUUUAUGUAUUUCCCCUACAAAUCCCAGUUUGAGGAAGAAACACUUUGCCAGAUCAUAUACUGUAGUUCAUUGCCAUAAAUGGCCUAUGUUUAUGCUAAUGUAGUGAGUUUCUGUUUCCUAAUUUUAUAAAAUGCAGUCGAAGCUGCACAUUUAUCUGUAUUCUGCAACUUUACUUAAAGUAACACAACUAUGUCAUUUUUAAAAUUGAAUGUUUUCUCCACUAUCAUAGAUCUCGUGGUCUUCUGUCUCAAGAGUCCGGUUUCAUUGUUGUCUUCCUUGUACAUUUGACUCCAGUUCCUGGCAGAAGUUAGUGUAUGUGGUUACACUGAUGGCCACAAUGCAAACAUACUGCUCUAUUAACUCCCUGUGAAAACCCAGCUAAAUUAAAAGGUCAUUCUUCUGUUCCAAGGAGAAUGCUGCCAAAUUCUCUCGUUCCCUCUUUCUGCUCUGUUGAGUUCCUUUGUGUUUGCUGUGUCCCACUUACUACAAUAAGCUGUGUUUGAUGAGAACAAGCAGUGCUAUUAAACCUCAUAUCGGAAGACAGAAGCGGGACCAUAUAUCUCUCUGAGUAGUUGCUGAUAGGUGAGAUACAGAGGUGAGAGUUUCCAGCAUUGUGUGCGUUAGUAUUUUUUGCAGCUCUAGGGAGGAACUACAAAGAUAUUGAGAGGAAGCCAAGCAUUCAGUAGUAUAUCAUGUGUAUCAGCCUCGCUGACAUAUCCUGCAAUCAGAUGCCAUCAUAAAUGACUUGUGGUCACAUCAGUGUUCUCUAUGUACUGAAAUUCCCCCUAUAGUGCAACCUAAGAAUAAAAAUAAGACAUGACUGAAAGUAAUGAUGUUGCGCAGUUCAGUGAGUCAGAUGUCCAUUAGGGAAACCCUGUGGUUAAUUCAGUGAAGGAUUUGUAAAACUGAUAGUUCCAGAGUUUGUCUUUUGUAAGAAUCAGAAUCAGACUGUUUCUUCAUGCUUGUGGAGAUGUAGAGUAUAUAGUGUUCUGCAAACUUCCUGACACUGUUAUUCACUGUUAACAAUCUUCUGUAGAUUUAAAACUGCAUAAUGCUCUGCCCUGGGUCAUUCUAGACUAACAAACAUCGAGGUCAGGCAGGACAGUGUCAGGGUGAAAGGUACUGAAGAAGGCAUGACUGCAAUAGAUUAACCCCAAUCUAUUCAUAGACUUGCAUUCUACUUUAAAGUCAGGCUUUUAGUGUAAUGGUCUUUUUUUUUUCGUUGUUGCUGGUGUAAGUCAAUAAUUUUAGAUGUAGGAGUAAUCAUAUUUUUAUGGCUUGGUUUGUUUGUUAAUUACUCCUGAACAAUGCACAAUGAAUCAGGUGCUUCCUAAAGUCAUUUUCCAUUUUUUCUUUUUUCAUGCAGCGUUUAAAUGUGUUAACUCACACAGGGACUAUCUUCACCUGUGGACUGUGAUGGCGUGAGAGAUAAGCCUAAUCCAGGCUUAACGCUGAGCAACUGCUCUGGCCACAAUCAAAGACGACAGAGAUAUUCUGGACUGACUAUUGAGAGAUCACACUUUGAUUCGCUCUUGGGAAUCUUCUCAAGUGCAAUUGUCUCUUCUCUGAAAUAAAAACAAUCUCACUAAACCGUAACCACACAUCUAAAACAAAAUGCAAAAUGCUAAUUGCAAAUUAUUUUCAUUGCAUGCAUGCUCAUUUUUGUAUUGCCCUAAUACUAUCAGCAUAGCAGCUCAUCGUAUAGGUCAUGCAAAAAUACAAAAACU